rnacentral:lncRNA from 12 species
GGGGGGGGGGGGGGGGCACCGGCGGGGCACGGGCGGGUCUCGGCCCCGCGGGGAGCGCGGCUCAGCCCNGGGGGCACCGGCGGGGCACGGGCGGGUCUCGGCCCCGCGGGGAGCGCGGCUCAGCCCCGGGGCAGGUGCGGGGCUGCCGUUCGGGGCCGGGCGAUCCGCCGCCGUUCCACCACUGGAGGGCAGCCACAUCUUAAAAAAAACCACCCGGCCCAACCCCUCCGCCGCCCGCACGGGGCUGAGCCCGCAUCGGAUGCGCCGCGGCAGCGCUGCGGGAGGAGACUUCUCCCGAGUCCGGGCGCUUCUCUUUCGGAGAGGAGAGCGGGGAAACCCCCAGAUUUCCAGCCCUCUCCCCUGGCUCGGGCAGCGGGCUCCACGCUUUGGUUGGGGGAGAAAAACAAAUGAGGAGCGGAGACAAGUCAAGCUUCAUCUCGAUGUUGCUGCGGGAGUCUCGGUAAAUGUCCAUCUGUCUGAUGAGCGUGAUGCAAAGGACAUUUUUGAAAAGGAGCCUUUUAACUCCGUAGACACGUAGGGACCCAUUCACGGGCAGGCACACACACGCGAGGAGGAGGAAGAAGAAGAAGCAACUUCACGAUCGCUGCUUUUAAAAGGGAGACGCUUUUUCCCUGGCUGGGACUUGCCUUCUGCCUCCUCAACCAGCUGCUAAAAGUAUGUUUCCGAGGCGGACUGCACUUCAGGGAACUUCUAUUUUCUGCUCGGCAGCUGUAGAGGAGCAGCAGCGAAGUUUGGAGUAACACCAAGUGAUGCGGGAAAAACACCCCGAGAGCAGAACACCCUCCUGCAGACACAACCCCUGCUGCUGCACACAGGUAUAGCUCCGGCGGUCGCAGAUCCGCUGAAAGCCUUCUCCGCAGGAUGACUCCGUGGGCCCCGGCGGAGGUGCUAGCGCUCUGGAAGAGAGAGGGGGGACGGGACACUAAUCAUAACUAUUAUUGCUAUUAUAAUAAUCCAGCCCAAAGUUUCACGGGGGAGAAUGUCAUCCUGUGGGUUUGGCUAAGGACGUAGCAGGAUAUGUAUUUUCCUCCUUCCCCUUCUUCCACCCCGCCGAGGGAAAACAGCUCUCCUUUUCCCUCGCUGAGGGAAGCCGCUGCCCCGCCGCGGGGGAAGCGGAGCCGGCCCGGAGCCCCCGCGGCUCGGCUCAGCGGGGUGUGUGGGGGGAAGCCCGGGGGUCGGGACGGGAGCUCGGCGGGGAGCUGGCUCUGCUGAGCAGCCGCCCCUUCCCUUGCCCCGGUGAGCGGCGGCGGGAGGCCCGGCCCGGCGCACACCUGCGCCCCGGCCCCGGCGGUGCCCCCGGCCGCGUCCCCUCCUCCCUUCAGGGGGGGGGGGGGGGGGGGGGGGGG